GACGUAGGGCGCGAGCGUUGUCCGGAUUUAUUGGGCGUAAAGAGCUCGUAGGCGGCUCGUUGCGUCGGCUGUGAAAACCCGCAGCUCAACUGUGGGCUUGCAGCCGAUACGGGCGGGCUAGGAUUCGGUAGGGGAGACUGGAAUUCCUGGUGUAGCGGUGAAAUGCGCAGAUAUCAGGAGGAACACCGGUGGCGAAGGCGGCUUCCUGGACACUUACUGACGCUGAGACGCGAAAGCGUGGGGAGCAAACAGG
rnacentral:rRNA from 1 species